UAUCUCUGUAGAGUCUGCAUAUCAAUAAGCGGAGGAAAAGAAACUAACAAGGAUUCCCUUAGUAACGGCGAGUGAAGCGGGAAGAGCUCAAAUUUGAAAUCUUCAAGGUUUUACCUUGACGAAUUGUAGUUUAAAGAAGUGUUUUCUGUUAGAGUUUGAGUAGAAAAGUUCCUUUGGAAUAGGGACAUCAUAGAGGGUGAGAAUCCCGUAUUUGGUAUCAUUAUUCCAGCUUUGUGAUACACUUUCAAAGAGUCGGAUUGUUUGGGAAUGCAGUCCAAAAUGGGUGGUAAAUUUCAUCUAAAGCUAAAUACUGGCGAGAGACCGAUAGCGAACAAGUACCGUGAGGGAAAGAUGAAAAGAACUUUGAAAAGAGAGUUAAACAGUACGUGAAAUUGUCAGAAGGGAAGCGUUUGACACCAGUGUUGUUUUUCCGAAAAUCAAUUACGAAUGGCUUGAUUCUGUGUUGUAUUGACCUUAUCAGCUUUCUGCACUUUUUUUCGAGUCUUUCUUAAUGCACUUUUCGGUUAACAAGUCAACAUCAAUUUCUUUUGUUGUAAAAGAGUAUUUGGAAGGUGGCUUUCUUUUCGGAGAAAGUGUUUAUAGCCCUAUACUUCUACAAUCGGAGAGAUUGAGGUCUGCAGCGUAGAUCCUUCGGGGUUAGAUACAUUUGUGCUAAGUUGUAGCUUUUCAUAGACAACUUGUUGACUAUGUUUAGUCAUGCGGCUUACUCGCUUAUGCUAUUUUACCUACGCUUAGGAUGUUGAAGAUGUAGCACAUCAU
rnacentral:rRNA from 1 species